CCUACGGGAGGCAGCAGUGGGGAAUUUUGCGCAAUGGGCGAAAGCCUGACGCAGCAACGCCGCGUGCGGGAUGAAGGCCUUCGGGUUGUAAACCGCUUUCAGUGGGGACGAAAAUGACUGUACCCACAGAAGAAGCCCCGGCUAACUACGUGCCAGCAGCCGCGGUAAUA
rnacentral:rRNA from 1 species